ACCCGCACAAGCGGUGGAUUAUGUGGAUUAAUUCGAUGCAACGACGAAAACCUUACCUACCCUGACAUGUCCUGAAGCCUGGAGAGAUCCGGGUGUGCCCGAAAGGGAACGGGAACACAGGUGCUGCAUGGCUGUCGUCAGCUCGUGUCGUGAGAUGUUGGGUUAAGUCCCGCAACGAGCGCAACCCUUGUCAUUAGUUGCUACAUUUAGUUGGGCACUCUAAUGAGACUGCCGGUGACAAACCGGAGGAAGGUGGGGAUGACGUCAAGUCCUCAUGGCCCUUAUGGGUAGGGCUUCACACGUAAUACAAUGGCGCGUACAGAGGGUUGCCAAGCCGCGAGGUGGAGCCAAUCCCAGAAAGCGCGUCGUAGUCCGGAUUGCAGUCUGCAACUCGACUGCAUGAAGUCGGAAUCGCUAGUAAUCGCGGAUCAGCAUGUCGCGGUGAAUACGUUCCCGGGUCUU
rnacentral:rRNA from 1 species